rnacentral:rRNA from 1 species
GAUGAACGCUGGCGGCGUGCCUAAUACAUGCAAGUCGAGUGAACAGACGAGGAGCUUGCUCCUCUGACGUUAGCGGCGGACGGGUGAGUAACACGUGGAUAACCUACCUAUAAGACUGGGAUAACUUCGGGAAACCGGAGCUAAUACCGGAUAAUAUAUUGAACCGCAUGGUUCAAUAGUGAAAGACGGUUUUGCUGUCACUUAUAGAUGGAUCCGCGCCGCAUUAGCUAGUUGGUAAGGUAACGGCUUACCAAGGCAACGAUGCGUAGCCGACCUGAGAGGGUGAUCGGCCACACUGGAACUGAGACACGGUCUAGACUCCUACGGGAGGCAGCAGUAGGGAAUCUUCCGCAAUGGGCGAAAGCCUGACGGAGCAACGCCGCGUGAGUGAUGAAGGUCUUCGGAUCGUAAAACUCUGUUAUUAGGGAAGAACAAAUGUGUAAGUAACUAUGCACGUCUUGACGGUACCUAAUCAGAAAGCCACGGCUAACUACGUG